GAUGAAGAACGCAGCGAAAUGCGAUACGUAAUGUGAAUUGCAGAAUUCAGUGAAUCAUCGAGUCUUUGAACGCACAUUGCGCCCCCUGGUAUUCCGGGGGGCAUGCCUGUCCGAGCGUCAUUGCUGCCCUCAAGCACGGCUUGUGUGUUGGGCCUCCGUCCUCCUCCCGGGGGACGGGCCCGAAAGGCAGCGGCGGCACCGCGUCCGGUCCUCGAGCGUAUGGGGCUUCGUCACCCGCUCUUGUAGGCCCGGCCGGCGCUUGCCGACACAUCAAUCUUUUUUCCAGGUUGACCUCGGAUCAGGUAGGGAUACCCUCUGAACUUAAGCAUAUCAAUAAGCGGAGGA
rnacentral:misc_RNA from 1 species